AGCGAACGCUGGCGGCAUGCCUAACACAUGCAAGUCGCACGGGGGGGCUUCGGCCUCCCAGUGGCGGACGGGUGAGGAACGCGUAGGGACCUGUCGAGGGGUGGGGAUAACCGCGGGAAACUGCGGCUAAUACCGCAUGACGCCGCGGCGUGACAGCCGGGGCCAAAGGCGAAAGCCGCCCGCCGAGGGGCCUGCGUCCGAUUAGCUGGUUGGCGGGGUAGCGGCCCACCAAGGCGUCGAUCGGUAGCUGGUCUGAGAGGGUGAUCAGCCACACCGGGACUGAGACACGGCCCGGACUCCUACGGGAGGCAGCAGUGGGGAAUAUUGGACAAUGGGCGCAAGCCUGAUCCAGCAAUGCCGCGUGGGUGAAGAAGGUCUUCGGAUUGUAAAGCCCUUUCGGCGGGGACGAUGGUGACGGUACCCGCAGAAGAAGCCCCGGCUAACUUCGUG
rnacentral:rRNA from 1 species